UACGGGGGGAGCAAGCGUUGUUCGGAUUUACUGGGCGUAAAGGGCGCGUAGGCGGGCUGACAAGUCUGGGGUGAAAUGCCGCGGCUCAACCGUGGAACUGCCUCAGAUACUGUCGGCCUCGAGGAAGGUAGGGGCAUGCGGAACUGUAGGUGGAGCGGUGAAAUGCGUUGAUAUCUACAGGAACUCCGGUGGCGAAAGCGGCGUGCUGGACCUUUUCUGACGCUGAGGCGCGAAAGCUAGGGGAGCAAACGGG
rnacentral:rRNA from 1 species